AUUGAACGCUGGCGGCAUGCCUUACACAUGCAAGUCGAACGGCAGCGCGGGGCAACCUGGCGGCGAGUGGCGAACGGGUGAGUAACAUAUCGGAACAUACCCUAGAGUGGGGGAUAACGUAGCGAAAGUUACGCUAAUACCGCAUACGCACUAAGGUGGAAAGUGGGGGAUCUUCGGACCUCAUGCUCAUGGAGUGGCCGAUAUCUGAUUGGCUAGUUGGUGAGGUAAAGGCUCACCAAGGCGACGAUCAGUAGCUGGUUUGAGAGAACGACCAGCCACACUGGAACUGAGACACGGUCCAGACUCCUACAGGAGGCAGCAGUGGGGAAUAUUGGACAAUGGGCGAAAGCCUGAUCCAGCCAUGCCGCGUGUGUGAAGAAGGUCUUCGGAUUGUAAAGCACUUUAAGUUGGGAGGAAGGGCAGUAAGUUAAUACCUUGCUGUUUUGACGUUACCGACAGAAUAAGCACCGGCUAACUUCGUGCCAGCAGCCGCGGU
rnacentral:rRNA from 1 species